rfam:Brachypodium distachyon strain Bd21 chromosome 3, whole genome shotgun sequence.
UUACUGCUCCCUCCGUCCAACAAAAGAUGUCUCAAGUUUUUGUCAAAAUUUGGAUGUAUCUAGACAUGACUUAGUGUAUAGAUGAAUUUAAAUUUGGUCAAACUUGAGACAUCCUUUGUUGGACGGAGGGAGUAGUAC